rnacentral:misc_RNA from 1 species
AAAAAUAGGAAUUGUGUGUGAAAGGGCUUCUUGGACUUGAACUUUAUGCAAAAUGGUACUGUACACGUUACAUAUGAUGAUGGGAUCCAUAUCGACGUGAAACUCCAACAAGAGAAAGUAGUAACCCUCACACAUAUGAUGAACAUUGAGUUAACUCCAUUAUUCUUUUGUACUUCCUACAGGGGUGCUGGUCACUUGCAUCCACUUUCAUGCAAGCAAGAGCAAGAACAAUUUUCAAAUAAGAAAAUAUCUAAAAAUUUCCUCUGCGGUACAGAAUCUAAU